UACAGAGGCCUCGAGCGUUAGGCGGAAUCACUGGGCUUAAAGCGCGUGUAGGCGGAUCGUUAAGUGUCUUGUGAAAUCCCACGGCUCAACCGUGGAACGGCUGGGCAUACUGGCGAUCUUGGGCCACUCAGGGGUUGCCGGAACAAGCGGUGGAGCGGUGAAAUGCGUAGAUAUCGCUUGGAACGCCGAAGGUGAAGACAGGCAACUGGGAGUGCGCCGACGCUGAGACGCGAAAGCUAGGGGAGCGAACGGG
rnacentral:rRNA from 1 species